AUUAUAACAAUACAGGGAAAAUGUAUUGCCCCCUAACUCGACUAUGAAGAACUGAGAAACUGAACUACUGACAGUUGCAUUCUUGCCUUUUGCUCUGCUACAUCGUCGUCGUCUUUUGCUCUGGUACAUCGUCGUGGCAUUCUUGACUUCGAAAUACCUCUGUGUACAAAAUACGCAUUCGCCUUCUCCUUCGACGCUGUGUACUAUUCUGGAUUAGAUCUUCUCGACUUCGAAAUACUCAUCGACAAAGAAAAGUCACCACAGUCACCAUGAUUAUAGCCUCGUUUUGAAGGAAGGCCCGUAUUGAUUGGAGCAUGGAAAGGAAUGAAAACCCAGAUUUGUUUUUGAACUGAUUUGAUCUAUUCUUACCAAAAGAUAAAGAUGGCCCAAAACCUGUCAUUAUCUUUGUGACUGGUGGAGCAUGGAUGAUAGGAUACAAACGACUGGGUGCACUUUUUGGUCUUCCGUUAGCAGAAAGGGAUAUGUAAUGGGACAAUCUGUUGGUGCCCAUAUAUCUUCUUGUGUACUCUUUUAACAGGCUAUUAAGGAAUCCAAAGGAGAGACCAUGUCUCUCAGAUCAAAGCUUAUUUUGGUUUUUCCGGAGUGUAAACAAACAUCAUUUAUGCUGUAAAUAUAUGUUAACAUGUAUACCAACAUUAGAUUUUGGUUAAACAAGUAUACCAACUUACCAACAUUAGCUCUAUUAUUGCUUGAUUCUAAUUUGUAUUUUGGCGAUUU